rnacentral:lncRNA from 1 species
CAUAACAUCGACAAUGCUACUAUCUUUUUCCACACUUGUGCUUCAUAAUAGCACCAUGUUCCUCAUGAUUGAGAGCCUCUCGUUUCGUCACCACCAUAUGCUAGUGGGAAUCUUUAUUACAUAACUUGGCUUGUAUAUUCCAAUGAUGGGCUUCCUCAAAAUUGCCCUAGGUUUUCGUGAGCAAGCAAGUUGGAUGCACACCCACUAGUUCUCCUUUUGAGCUUUCACAUACUUAUAGCU